rnacentral:rRNA from 1 species
AUUGAACGCUGGCGGCAUGCCUUACACAUGCAAGUCGAACGGCAGCACGGGUGCUUGCACCUGGUGGCGAGUGGCGAACGGGUGAGUAAUACAUCGGAACGUACCUUAUCGUGGGGGAUAACGCAGCGAAAGUUGUGCUAAUACCGCAUACGCCCUGAGGGGGAAAGCGGGGGGUCGAAAGACCUCGCGCGAUUAGAGCGGCCGAUGCCUGAUUAGCUUGUUGGUGGGGUAAAAGCCCACCAAGGCGACGAUCAGAAGCUGGUCUGAGAGGACGAUCAGCCACACUGGGACUGAGACACGGCCCAGACUCCUACGGGAGGCAGCAGUGGGGAAUUUUGGACAAUGGGGGCAACCCUGAUCCAGCAAUGCCGCGUGAGUGAAGAAGGCCUUCGGGUUGUAAAGCUCUUUUGUCAGGGAAGAAACACCGGCUCUAACACAGUCCGGGAAUGACGGUACCUGAAGAAUAAGCACCGGCUAACUACGUGCCAGCCGCCGCAGUAA